rnacentral:rRNA from 1 species
AAUUUUUGACAAUUGGCGCAAGCCUGAUCCAGCCAUGCCGCGUGAGUGAAUAAUGCCUUCGGCUUGUAAAGCACUUUCGGACUGAAAGAAAUCGAGUAGGCUAAUACCCUGCGUGGAAGACGGUUCCGUCUUAAGAAGCACCGGCUAUUUACGUGCCAGCACCCGCGUUAAUACGUAGGGUGCGAGCGGUAAUCGGAAUUACUGGGCGUAAAGCGUGCGCAGGCGGUUGAUUAAGACAGGCGUGAAAUCCCCGGGCUUAACCUGGGAACUGCGCUUGUGACUGGUCAGCUAGAGUACGGCAGAGGGGGGUGGAAUUCCACGUGUAGCAGUGAAAUGCGUAGAGAUGUGGAGGAACACCGAUGGCGAAGGCAGCCCCCUGGGCCGAUACUGACGCUCAUGCACGAAAGCGUGGGUAGCAAACAGG